rnacentral:lncRNA from 1 species
UGUAAUAAAAAGAAAAAUGGAGGAAAAAAAAAAAGGAGCAAGAAGAGAGGAGCAGUUAAGUUGGGGAACACGCCCAAAAAUGGCUGCGGUGUCAGCUAAGAAUGGAGCAGCAAGCAUGUGAGAAAUUUGAAAGACACACGGCAAAAAUUGCGUUGGCGUGGCUUUGAUUACAUUACACAACAAACACAAUAGCCAGCUUCUCUCUCUCUCUCUGGAUUCUCGAAUUUGAAUGGUGAAGACGGAAGACAAGAGAAACAUGCACGUCGGUGGAGUCACGCGCGACGGGACAAUAUGCCUGCCUUGUCAUGUUUUUUUACGGCAUUAAAUAUUCUCUAAUUUGUCUCUCACUCCCCUUUUGGCCCAAGAAAUGUUUGUGAUUGUGAAAAAUAUCAAGACCCCAAAUGCCAAAUAUAAGUUUCAUAUUACACGUCAAUUUUUUUUUGAGGCCAGGCCAGGUGGGGGUGGUGCAUGUCGUAUUGUGGAUAAUGGCCUUCAAGUCUUUGGCCGGUUUUAGGGUUUGAGUUUACAAGAAGAAUAUUAAAGCCAGACAGAGCUUGGAAAUGAUUUUUUUUUUUUUUUUUUAAAGUCAAACAAGGUAGAUACCAGAUACAGGUAAGCAGCUUAGUGCUGUGCCAUUAAUUUCUAGGUUUCAAGGAAGGAAAUACUUGAAGAGUCUAGAAAAUGUCCAGGUCUUUAUUUU